rnacentral:rRNA from 1 species
GAUGAACGCUGGCGGCGUGCCUAACACAUGCAAGUCGAGCGAACAGACGAGGAGCUUGCUCCUCUGACGUUAGCGGCGGACGGGUGAGUAACACGUGGAUAACCUACCUAUAAGACUGGGAUAACUACGGGAAACCGGAGCUAAUACCGGAUAAUAUAUUGAACCGCAUGGUUCAAUAGUGAAAGACGGCUUUGCUGUCACUUAUAGAUGGAUCCGCGCCGCAUUAGCGAGUUGGUAAGGUAACGGCUUACCAAGGCAACGAUGCGUAGCCGACCUGAGAGGGUGAUCGGCCACACUGGAACUGAGACACGGUCCAGACUCCUACGGGAGGCAGCAGUAGGGAAUCUUCCGCAAUGGGCGAAAGCCUGACGGAGCAACGCCGCGUGAGUGAUGAAGGUCUUCGGAUCGUAAAACUCUGUUAUUAGGGAAGAACAACUGUGUAAGUAACUAUGCACGUCUUGACGGUACCUAAUCAGAAAGCCACGGCUAACUACGUG